rnacentral:rRNA from 1 species
UACAGAGGUCUCGAGCGUUGUUCGGAUUCAUUGGGCGUAAAGGGUGCGUAGGCGGCGGGGUAAGUCUGAUGUGAAAUCCCGGGGCUCAACCCCGGAACUGCAUUGGAUACUGCCCUGCUUGAGUACUGGAGAGGAGACUGGAAUUUACGGUGUAGCAGUGAAAUGCGUAGAUAUCGUAAGGAAGACCAGUGGCGAAGGCGGCCUUCUGGACAGUGACUGACGCUGAGACGCGAAAGCGUGGGGAGCAAACAGG